AUUGAACGCUGGCGGCAGGCCUAACACAUGCAAGUCGAACGGUAACAGGAAGCAGCUUGCUGCUUCACUGACGAGUGGCGGACGGGUGAGUAAUGUCUGGGAAGCUGCCUGAUGGAGGGGGAUAACUACUGGAAACGGUAGCUAAUACCGCAUAAUGUCGCAAGACCAAAGAGGGGGACCUUCGGGCCUCUUGCCAUCGGAUGUGCCCAGAUGGGAUUAGCUUGUUGGUGGGGUAACGGCUCACCAAGGCGACGAUCCCUAGCUGGUCUGAGAGGAUGACCAGCCACACUGGGACUGAGACACGGUCCAGACUCCUACGGGAGGCAGCAGUGGGGAAUAUUGCACAAUGGGCGCAAGCCUGAUGCAGCCAUGCCGCGUGUAUGAAGAAGGCCUUCGGGUUGUAAAGUACUUUCAGCGGGGAGGAAGGGAGUAAAGUUAAUACCUUUGCUCAUUGACGUUACCCGCAGAAGAAGCACCGGCUAACUCCGUG
rnacentral:rRNA from 1 species